AGGACGAACGCUGGCGGCGUGCUUAACACAUGCAAGUCGAGCGGAAAGGCCCUUCGGGGUACUCGAGCGGCGAACGGGUGAGUAACACGUGAGCAACCUGCCCUUAGCUUCGGGAUAGCUCCGGGAAACCGGAAUUAAUACCGAAUAUGACUUUGGCUGACAUCAGCAGAAGUGGAAAGUUUUUCGGCUAGGGAUGGACUCGCGGCCUAUCAGCUAGUUGGUGAGGUAACGGCCCACCAAGGCGACGACGGGUAGCCGGCCUGAGAGGGCGACCGGCCACACUGGGACUGAGACACGGCCCAGACUCCUACGGGAGGCAGCAGUGGGGAAUAUUGCGCAAUGGGCGAAAGCCUGACGCAGCAACGCCGCGUGGGGGAUGAAUGCCUUCGGUUGUAAACCCCUUUCAGCAGGGACGAAGCGAAAGUGACGGUACCUGCAGAAGAAGCGCCGGCUAACUACGCGCCAGCAGCCGC
rnacentral:rRNA from 1 species